rnacentral:misc_RNA from 1 species
UCCGGCUCAACGCCGGCAGUCUCUCUAGAGUCCCCACCAUCACGUGCUGGCAACUAAAGACGGGGGUUGCGCUCGUUGCGGGACUUAACCCAACACCUCACGGCACGAGCUGACGACAGCCAUGCACCACCUGUGAAGGUGCCCGUGAGGGAGGACGUGUUUCCACGCCUGUCACCUACAUGUCAAGCCCAGGUAAGGUUCUCCGCGUUGCGUCGAAUUAAGCCACAUGCUCCGCCGCUUGUGCGGGCCCCCGUCAAUUCCUUUGAGUUUCAGCCUUGCGGCCGUACUCCCCAGGCGGGGCACUUAAUGCGUUAGCUCCGACACCGAAUGUGUCUAUACACCCGGCAUCUAGUGCCCAUCGUUUACGGCGUGGACUAC